rnacentral:rRNA from 1 species
GCGUAGGUGGUUUGUUAAGUCUGAUGUGAAAGCCCUGGGCUCAACCUGGGAAUUGCAUUGGAUACUGGCAGGCUAGAGUGCGGUAGAGGAUGGGGGAAUUCCCGGUGUAGCAGUGAAAUGCGUAGAGAUCGGGAGGAACAUCUGUGGCGAAGGCGGCCAUCUGGACCAGCACUGACACUGAGGCACGAAAGCGUGGGGAGCAAACAGGAUUAGAUACCCUGGUAGUCCACGCCCUAAACGAUGCGAACUGGAUGUUGGGAGCAACUAGGCUCUCAGUAUCGAAGCUAACGCGUUAAGUUCGCCGCCUGGGGAGUACGGUCGCAAGACUGAAACUCAAAGGAAUUGACGGGGGCCCGCACAAGCGGUGGAG